ACAGUUGUAAUUCAACAGCACUGACUCCUGCUGUUGGAAUGGAGGACCAUGCUGAAUGAUGAGAAAGCUGGCGCAUCUUGGCAAACUUCCCAGGCAUCCGCCCUGGGCGAGCUGAGGGGCAUGUAUCAUACUUUCAGAGGGAUGGUGCAGAAGGGAAACUGCAGAGAGAUGCUAACAUUUCAGUGAGCCCUGCCACUCCAAGACUGCGAAGAGAUAGGAAGGGCCACACAAGCUCCCUGUUCAAGGACCUUUCCUUUCCAGAGGGCACUGCUGGCUCCAGGGCUCCUCAAGAAAUGCUUGGAGAAAUGCUGAUUUAAGACUGCACCUCUUGGUCAAACACUGAGUGACACGUAAUCAGACACUUGAGGAGAUGGCGCUUCUCAAAGAGAAAACAUUCAACCCACUCUCAUAAUGAUGAGCCUAGAGAAUGGAGCUUGUGUAGCUUCUGCACCAGUCAAGUUAGCGGCGAUGAGGGAUGAGGGUGUUGGGCAGUCCCAACUCUCCUUCUGCUGAGUGACUGCCAGGCUACUGUGGGUGUGAUUCCGCUGUGUUUAAGGCUACCACGGAGCUGACAAGAGAGGCAUGAGAAUAAAGAAG